GCAGGGCACGGUGGCUCAUGCCUGUAAUCCCAGCACUUUGGGAGGCCGAGACGGGCGGAUCACGAGGCCAGGAGAUCGAGACCAUCCUGGCUAACACGGUGAAACCCCGUCUCUACUAAAANUUUUUUAGUAGAGACGGGGUUUCACCGUGUUAGCCAGGAUGGUCUCGAUCUCCUGGCCUCGUGAUCCGCCCGUCUU
rnacentral:SRP_RNA from 1 species